GACGAACGCUGGCGGCGUGCUUAACACAUGCAAGUCGAACGGAAAGGCCCUGCUUUUGUGGGGUGCUCGAGUGGCGAACGGGUGAGUAACACGUGAGUAACCUGCCCUUGACUUUGGGAUAACUUCAGGAAACUGGGGCUAAUACCGGAUAGGAGCUCCUGCUGCAUGGUGGGGGUUGGAAAGUUUCGGCGGUUGGGGAUGGACUCGCGGCUUAUCAGCUUGUUGGUGGGGUAGUGGCUUACCAAGGCUUUGACGGGUAGCCGGCCUGAGAGGGUGACCGGCCACAUUGGGACUGAGAUACGGCCCAGACUCCUACGGGAGGCAGCAGUGGGGAAUAUUGCACGAUGGGCGGAAGCCUGAUGCAGCAACGCCGCGUGCGGGAUGACGGCCUUCGGGUUGUAAACCGCUUUCGCUUGUGACGAAGCGUGAGUGACGGUAAUGGGUAAAGAAGCACCGGCUAACUACGUG
rnacentral:rRNA from 1 species